UACGUAGGGGGCAAGCGUUGUCCGGAAUCAUUGGGCGUAAAGAGCGUGUAGGCGGCCUGGUAAGUCCGCUGUGAAAGUCCGGGGCUCAACCCCGGAUCGGCCGUGCCGACUGAGAGGCUGGAGCACUGUAGAGGCGAGUGGAAUUCCGGGUGUAGCGGUGGAAUGCGUAGAGAUCCGGAAGAACCCCGGUGGCGAAGGCGGCUCGCUGGGCCGUUGCUGACGCUGAGGCGCGACAGCUUGGGGAGCAAACAGG
rnacentral:rRNA from 1 species